AGUAAAUAGAUACCCGGGUAGUCCACGCCGUAAACGAUGUCGACUUGGAGGUUGUGCCCUUGAGGCGUGGCUUCCGGAGCUAAACGCGUUAAAGUCGACCGCCUGGGGAGUACGGCCGCAAGGUUAAAACUCAAAUGAAUUGACGGGGGCCCGCACAGGCGGUGGAGCAUGUGGUUUAAUUCGAUGCAACGCGAAGAACCUUACCUACUCUUGACAUCCAGAGAACUUAGCAGAGAUGCUUUGGUGCCUUCGGGAACUCUGAGACAGGUGCUGCAUGGCUGUCGUCAGCUCGUGUUGUGAAAUGUUGGGUUAAGUCCCGCAACGAGCGCAACCCUUAUCCUUUGUUGCCAGCGGUUAGGCCGGGAACUCAAAGGAGACUGCCAGUGAUAAACUGGAGGAAGGUGGGGAUGACGUCAAGUCAUCAUGGCCCUUACGAGUAGGCUACACACGUGCUACAAUGGCGCAUACAAAGAGAAGCGACCUCGCGAGAGCAAGCGGACCUCAUAAAGUGCGUCGUAGUCCGG
rnacentral:rRNA from 1 species